CCAGACUCCUACGGGAGGCAGCAGUGGGGAAUAUUGGACAAUGGGGGAAACCCUGAUGCAGCAAUGCCGCGUGGGUGAAGAAGCACUCCGGUGCGUAAAGCCCUGUCAGCAGGGAAGAAAAUGACAGUACCUGGACAAGAAGCCCCGGCUAACUACGUGCCAGCAGCCGCGGUAAUACGUAGGGGGCAAGCGUUAUCCGGAUUUACUGGGUGUAAAGGGUGCGUAGGUGGCAUGGCAAGUCAGAAGUGAAAGCCCGGGGCUCAACCCCGCGGACUGCUUUUGAAACUGUCAGGCUGGAGUACAGGAGAGGUAAGCGGAAUUCCUAGUGUAGCGGUGAAAUGCGUAGAUAUUAGGAGGAACACCAGUGGCGAAGGCGGCUUACUGGACUGUAACUGACACUGAGGCACGAAAGCGUGGGGAGCAAACAGGAUUAGAUACCCCAGUA
rnacentral:rRNA from 1 species